CGAACGAAAGUUUUUAACUUUAGUGGCGAACGGGUGCGUAAUACGUGAGAAUCUGCCCUUAGGAGAAGAAUAACUGCUGGAAACGGCUGCUAAAUCUUCAUAUGUCGAGAGAUGAAAUAGCUUUGCUGCCUAAGGAUGAGCUCGCGCCUGAUUAGCUAGUUGGUAAGGUAAAAGCUUACCAAGGCGACAAUCAAUAGCUGAUUUGAGAGGAUGAUCAGCCACACUGGGACUGAGACACGGCCCAGACUCC
rnacentral:rRNA from 1 species